rnacentral:rRNA from 1 species
CGGGUGAGUAACGCGUGGGUAACCUGCCUCAUACAGGGGGAUAACAGUUAGAAAUGGCUGCUAAUACCGCAUAAGCACACAGUGUUGCAUGACACAGCGUGAAAAACUCCGGUGGUAUGAGAUGGACCCGCGUCUGAUUAGCUAGUUGGUGGGGUAACGGCCUACCAAGGCGACGAUCAGUAGCCGACCUGAGAGGGUGACCGGCCACAUUGGGACUGAGACACGGCCCAA